GAUGAACGCUGGCGGCGUGCCUAAUACAUGCAAGUCGAGCGAACGGACGAGAAGCUUGCUUCUCUGAUGUUAGCGGUGGACGGGUGAGUAACACGUGGAUAACCUACCUAUAAGACUGGGAUAACUUCGGGAAACCGGAGCUAAUACCGGAUAAUAUUUUGAACCGCAUGGUUCAAAAGUAAAAGACGGUCUUGCUGUCACUUAUAGAUGGAUCCGCGCUGCAUUAGCUAGUUGGUAAGGUAACGGCUUACCAAGGCAACGAUGCAUAGCCGACCUGAGAGGGUGAUCGGCCACACUGGAACUGAGACACGGUCCAGACUCCUACGGGAGGCAGCAGUAGGGAAUCUUCCGCAAUGGGCGAAAGCCUGACGGAGCAACGCCGCGUGAGUGAUGAAGGUCUUCGGAUCGUAAAACUCUGUUAUUAGGGAAGAACAUAUGUGUAAGUAACUGUGCACAUCUUGACGGUACCUAAUCAGAAAGCCACGGCUAACUACGUG
rnacentral:rRNA from 1 species